rnacentral:piRNA from 1 species
AUUCAAUUUUAAGAAGGUGUCUA